rnacentral:lncRNA from 1 species
CCUUUAGAUCUACUUGAUCGCUUAUCAAAAACUAAAAUCUAAAUCCCUAAUCAAACAAACCCUAGAUAAGGAAACCAAAAAACAUGAGAAGCCGAUAACGGAGGAGGAAGAUUGGUGUUUUCUUGGUUUUUUUUUAUUUUUCAUUUAUUUUUUAUUAUUAAGGAAGAGUGGUGGUGGUUUUCUUGUUUUGAUGAAGAUUGGUGGUUCUUCUCGUCACUUCGUAGGAAGAGC